GAUGAACGCUGACAGAAUGCUUAACACAUGCAAGUCUUUGGCGAAGCUGUGCUUGCACAGCCUGGCCAAGGCGGACGGGUGAGUAACGCGUAAGGAACUUGCCCUGCAGUCAGGGAUAACAGACGGAAACGACUGAUAAGACCUGGUAAAGUCAGUCGGACUCAUGUCCAGCCUGAUGAAAAGAGAUGCUGCAGGAGAGCCUUGCGUCCUAUUAGCUUGUUGGUGGGGUAACGGCCCACCAAGGCGAUGAUAGGUAGCCGGCCUGAGAGGGUGGACGGCCACAAGGGGACUGAGAUACGACCCUUACUCCUACGGGAGGAAGCAGUGGGGAAUAUUGGACAAUGGGGGCAACCAUGAUCCAGCAAUUCUGUGUGCACGAUGAAGGUUUUCGGAUUGUAAAGUGCUUUCAGCAGGGAAGAAAAAAAUGACGGUACCUGCAGAAGAAGCGACGGCUAAAUACGUG
rnacentral:rRNA from 1 species